rnacentral:rRNA from 1 species
UACCCUUGUAGUCACGGCAGUAACCGAUGAAUGCUAUCUGUCGGNCGGGAAUGACGGUGGGGUGGCACAGCGAAAGCGUUAAGCAUUCCACCUGGGGAGUACGCCGGCAACGGUGAAACUCAAAGGAAUUGACGNGGGCCCGCACAAGCGGAGGAACAUGUGGUUUAAUUCGAUGAUACGCGAGGAACCUUACCCGGGCUCAAACGACGCAGGGAUGUCCGUGAAAGCGGACAGUCCUUCGGGACCUGUGUCGAGGUGCUGCAUGGUUGUCGUCAGCUCGUGCCGUGAGGUGUCGGCUUAAGUGCCAUAACGAGCGCAACCCCCAUCUUCAGUUGCCAUCAGGUUAUGCUGGGCACUCUGGAGAGACUGCCGGCGCAAGCUGCGAGGAAGGCGGGGAUGACGUCAAAUCAGCACGGCCCUUACGUCCGGGGCGACACACGUGUUACAAUGGCAGGUACAGCGGGAGGCCAGGCGGCGACGCCGAGCGGAACCCGAAAACCUGUCUCAGUUCGGAUCGGAGUCUGCAACCCGACUCCGUGAAGCUGGAUUCGCUAGUAAUCGCGCAUCAGCCAUGGCGCGGUGAAUACGUUCCCGGGCCUUGUACACACCGCCCGUCAAGCCAUGGAAGCCGGGGGUGCCUGAAGUGUGCAACCGCAAGGAGCGCCCUAAGGUAAAACCGGUGACUGGGGCUAAGUCGUAACAAGG